rnacentral:pre_miRNA from 1 species
CUCCACCUCAGAUUAUCAGGCAUUAUUAGAUCCUGAUUUAUUAUUAGGAUCUAAUAAUGCCUGAUAAUCUGAGGUGGAG